UACGGAGGAGGCAAGCGUUAUCCGGAAUUAUUGGGCGUAAAGCGUCCGUAGAUGGUCGCUUCAAGUCUGUCGUCAAAGACCGGGGCUUAACCCUGGAAAGGCGAUGGAAACUGAAAGGCUAGAGAGAGGUAGGGGUAGAGGGAAUUCCCAGUGUAGCGGUGAAAUGCGUAGAGAUUGGGAAGAACAUCGGUGGCGAAAGCGCUCUACUGGACCUCAUCUGACACUCAGGGACGAAAGCUAGGGGAGCGAAUGGG
rnacentral:rRNA from 1 species